GAUGAACGCUGGCGGCGUGCCUAAUACAUGCAAGUCGAGCGACCGCACGAUAAGCGUGCGUUUCUGAUGUUAGCGGCUGACGGGUGAGUAACGCGUAGAUAACCUACCUAUAAUACGUGGAGGACAUCGGGAAACCAGUGCUAAUACCGGAUAAUAUUUUCUACCGCAUAAUUCAAGAGUGAAUGACAGCUUUGCUGUCACUUAUAGAUGGAGCCGCGCUGGAUUAGCUAGUUGGUAAGGUAACGGCUUACCAAGGCGACGAUGCAUAGCUGAGCUGAGAGGAUGAUCAGCCACACUGGAACUGAGACACGGUCCAGACUCCUACGGGAGGCAGCAGUAGGGAAUAUUGGGCAAUGGGCGCAAGCCUGAUCGAGCAAUGCCGCGUGAGUGAUGAAGGUCUUCGGGUCGUAAAACUCUGUUGUUAGGGAAGAACAGCUGCAUAAGUAACUGCGGCCAUUCUGACGGUACCCAAUGAGAAAGCCACGGCUAACUACGUG
rnacentral:rRNA from 1 species